GGCGGAGAGAUCACGUAUUUUCCGUGAAUGAAAAUGAAAAUACGUAUUGUGUUGUGAAAAUUGGAAUGUGCUUUAGGGAAUAACUCGGAAAAGUGAAGUGAACUUUGAACUCUUUAAAGUGGAUAACGACAUAAGAAAAUUGCGAGGAAAGGCAUCCUUGACUUGAUAUUGGGGUAUUAAGUUCAAGACCAGACAAAUAUCGUAA